rnacentral:rRNA from 1 species
ACGCCUAAUAACUAGCCCACCAGCAAGAAGAAACCCCCACAUAAUACUCUAACAAGACCUACAUUAAUACAACAAACCAUUUUACCCCCUUAGUAUAGGAGAUAGAAAAGGAA